AAGUCGUAACAAGGUUUCCGUAGGUGAACCUGCGGAAGGAUCAUUACCGAGUUCAUGCCCUCACGGGUAGAUCUCCCACCCUCUGUAUACCAUACCUUUGUUGCUUUGGCGGGCCGCCUAGCUACUGGCUUCGGCUGGUAAGUGCCCGCCAGAGGACCCAAAACCCUGAAUAUUAGUGUCGUCUGAGUAAAAUUUUAAUAUUUAAAACUUUCAACAACGGAUCUCUUGGCUCUGGCAUCGAUGAAGAACGCAGCGAAAUGCGAUAAGUAAUGUGAAUUGCAGAAUUCAGUGAAUCAUCGAAUCUUUGAACGCACAUUGCGCCCCUUGGUAUUCCGAGGGGCAUGCCUAUUCGAGCGUCAUUAUCACCCCUCAAGCUUCGGCUUGGUGUUGAGGCCUGCUGUAAAGGCACCCUCUAAAAUCAGUGGCAGUGCUGUCAGGCUCUAAGCGUAGUAAUUUCAUCGCUAUAGGGUCCUGGUGGAUACUCGUCAAAACCCCCCCAUUUUUUAAUGAUUGACCUCGGAUUAGGUAGGGAUACCCGCUGAACUUAAGCAUAUCAAUAAGCGGAGGAAAAGAAAUCAACAGGGAUUGCCUCAGUAACGGCGAGUGAAGCGGCAAAAGCUCAAAUUUGAAAUCUGGCUCUUUUAGGGUCCGAGUUGUAAUUUGUAGAAGAUGUUUCGGGUGUGGCUCCGGUUUAAGUUCUUUGGAAUAUUACAUCAUAGAGGGUGAGAAUCCCGUAUGUGACCGGCAGCCUUCGCCUAUGUGAAACUCUUUCGAC
rnacentral:sRNA from 1 species